AUUUUUUUGGAAGCCGCCCAGAGUGGCUGGGGAGGCCCAGCCAAAUGGGUGGGGUAUAAAUAAUACAUUAUUAUUAUUAUUAUUUAUACCCCGUUCAUCUUGGCUGGGUUUCUCCAGCUACUCUGGGUGGCUUCCAACGGAAUA